rnacentral:rRNA from 1 species
GAUGAACGCUGGCGGCGUGCCUAAUACAUGCAGGUCGAGCGAACGGACGAGAAGCUUGCUUCUCUGAUGUUAGCGGCGGACGGGUGAGUAACACGUGGAUAACCUACCUAUAAGACUGGGAUAACUUCGGGAAACCGGAGCUAAUACCGGAUGAUAUUUUGAACCGCAUGGUUCAAAAGUGAAAGACGGUCUUGCUGUCACUUAUGGAUGGAUCCGCGCUGCAUUAGCUAGUUGGUAAGGUAACGGCUUACCAAGGCAACGAUGCAUAGCCGACCUGAGAGGGUGAUCGGCCACACUGGAACUGAGACACGGUCCAGACUCCUACGGGAGGCAGCAGUAGGGAAUCUUCCGCAAUGGGCGAAAGCCUGACGGAGCAACGCCGCGUGAGUGAUGAAGGUCUUCGGAUCGUAAAACUCUGUUAUUAGGGAAGAGCAUAUGUGUAAGUAACUGUGCACAUCUUGACGGUACCUAAUCAGAAAGCCACGGCUAACUACGUG